rnacentral:lncRNA from 1 species
CAACUUUGCUAUCUUAGAACGGAUCACCAGUGAAAGAGGGGAAGUUGCUACUGUGAUGAAUUCUGCCAUGUGGUACCAGACUGCUGCCCAGACCACAGUGUCCUCUGCAACCCUGGUAACUCACAUACAGGCCUGAUUCCACCUACAGCAAAGCUGGAUGCUAUGGUUGGCAGAGGCAAGCCCCUUGCCUGCACUUCAGGCCAAAGCCGGGAUGUGGCCUAGAUGGUUCCUAAGGUCCCUGACAGUCCUGAGAUCUUUCAUCUUGUCUAUUUCAGGUCAAAGGUGCCUACAUGUUCCUUCUAGCUUUGUUUCCCUGAUGUUCCUUGCCACCUGCUACUCCUCUCUGAGCUACUUUUCCAGGUUCCACAGGGAGAGGUUCAGCUGUCCAUGGUAGACAUGAGGGUAGAGAAUGAGAUGGUUGGGUUCCACUUACCUUUCUAUCAUCUUGCAGUAUGGAUGUCUCUUGACUGGUACCAUGUAGACUUUUGAGGGCAGACAGGAGUCUGCAGAGAGAUACUGGGGAUAUUGAGCAGCAGCAAUGGGGUUGGGAGGCAGAAAUGAGGACAGGAACAUUUACCUUGUGUUUCUCUCAGCUUCUCAGAUGACCAAGAUGGUGCUGCCGAUGGUGUUGAGGACGGAGAACCCACCAAGCCCCGUUAGGAGCCACCUAGACUGGAUGCAGAGCACAGCCCAUCAGAAACUCAAAAGAAUGCUACCUUUGUCUCUCACCCACCUGUGCCCUGGAAGCUUUCUCCUGGCUUCAAGUUGUCCCACCUUUGCUUGGCAUUGCCCUGCCUUUUCCAGACUGAACAAAUGUUCAUCUUACAUAUGUUGAUUGAUGUCUCAUGUCUCCCUAAAACAUAUGAAAUCAAGCUGUGCUCUGACCACCUUGGCACAUGUCGUCAGGACCUCCUGAGGCUGUGUCACGGACGCGCAUCUUCAACCUUGGAAAAAUAAACUUUCUAAAUUAACU